AUGGCUGAGAGGUAAAGCGCUUGUCUUUCAAGCCUGGGAUCCUGGGUUCAAAUCUCAGU
rnacentral:tRNA from 1 species